GAUGAACGCUGGCGGCGUGCCUAAUACAUGCAAGUCGAGCGAACAGAUAAGGAGCUUGCUCCUUUGACGUUAGCGGCGGACGGGUGAGUAACACGUGGGUAACCUACCUAUAAGACUGGGAUAACUUCGGGAAACCGGAGCUAAUACCGGAUAACAUUUGGAACCGCAUGGUUCUAAAGUGAAAGAUGGUUUUGCUAUCACUUAUAGAUGGACCCGCGCCGUAUUAGCUAGUUGGUAAGGUAACGGCUUACCAAGGCGACGAUACGUAGCCGACCUGAGAGGGUGAUCGGCCACACUGGAACUGAGACACGGUCCAGACUCCUACGGGAGGCAGCAGUAGGGAAUCUUCCGCAAAGGGCGAAAGCCUGACGGAGCAACGCCGCGUGAGUGAUGAAGGGUUUCGGCACGUAAAACUCUGUUAUUAGGGAAGAACAAAUGUGUAAGUAACUGUGCACGUCUUGACGGUACCUAAUCAGAAAGCCACGGCUAACUACGUG
rnacentral:rRNA from 1 species